CUUCUCGUACCGGUCCAUCCUACUGCUGCCGCGCGAUCUGGAAAACAGGGUCGACAGGACGAACAUGCUGCCGUAAGCGAGGGGGCCGCGCUCUUUGAGCGGGAAGAGCAGAAAAGCCUUUGUGUACAGCGUGGGGUCAGCCGUGCUCACGGAUCGACGGACGGAAGAUGGUUCGGAUUUAGGAAAAUUCCACCGCGCGAGCACGAGAGAAACCAGCUGCGGACCGCGGAAUCCUUCACACGAGUCCUUCGAUUCGAAGCGCAAACGUUCUUCAACUAGCCUUGGUUGGCUUUUGGGCGUGGAGGCCGUCCCAGCAACCCGGGCCGUUGGACCCUUCAAUGUCAGGGAGCGAGCAGAAAGCGUGCAUUACCUACGCGCACUCUCACAAACCAGGGACUCAUGUCCCGCUUCCACACGAACAUUAUUCAAACCAGCUUGGACAGGUCGCUCGGAGGUAAGUGUACUAGCGCACAUGCUGAAUCCUAGUAGUCGUGGAGUGGUCAGAGAGAAAGCACGACUACCGUACUAUAUGGUAGCGAUGGGUGGGUAAGAUUGCAAGUAAAAUCAAUAUUCUGUGCGACGUUGGACCGCCUUCACACGA